rnacentral:rRNA from 1 species
GAUGAACGCUAGCUACAGGCUUAACACAUGCAAGUCGAGGGGUAACAAGAGAAAAGCUUGCUUUUCUUGUUGACGACCGGCGCACGGGUGAGUGACGCGUAUCCAACCUGCCUAUAACUAGGGAAUAACCUUGCGAAAGUAAGACUAAUACCCUAUGAUUUCCUUUGAUGACAUCAGAUUAGGAAUAAAGAUUUAUCGGUUAUAGAUGGGGAUGCGUCUGAUUAGCUUGUUGGCGGGGUAACGGCCCACCAAGGCAACGAUCAGUAGGGGUUCUGAGAGGAAGGUCCCCCACAUUGGAACUGAGACACGGUCCGAACUCCUACGGGAGGCAGCAGUGAGGAAUAUUGGUCAAUGGGCGAAAGCCUGAACCAGCCAAGUAGCGUGCAGGAUGACGGCCCUAUGGGUUGUAAACUGCUUUUAUACAGGAAUAAAGUUAGCCACGUGUGGUUAUUUGUAGGUACUGUAUGAAUAAGGACCGGCUAAUUCCGUGCCAGCCGCCGCAGUAA